UAAAUACUCCCUCCGUCUGAAAAUACUUGUCAUCAAAAUGGAUAAAAAGAGAUUUAUCUAAAACUAAAAUACGUCUAGAUACAUUUCCUUUUAUCCAUUUUGAUGACAAGUAUUUUCGGACGGAUGGAGUAUUUA
rnacentral:pre_miRNA from 1 species